GUUUUUCUCCUGUAUGACACCUCUUUAAAAGACUUAAACUACAGUUGUCAAUUAACUACAAAAAGAGGGAGGACAUAUUCUCUAGACCAUGAUGAGAGUAUGAAUGUAGGAGGCAGGAGGAAAUGAGCUGCCAGAAGCUGAAUGGCGUUGUCUCCCACUUCUGACUUCCUGGAGGAGCAUGGAGUUAUGCAUGUGUCAGCAGCACGGAAUCCAUUACACGGGGAACAAAAAACAUGUCCUGUUGGUAUGGAGUAGGCAAAGCAGAAGGAUCCAGCCCCAG
rnacentral:lncRNA from 1 species